rnacentral:rRNA from 1 species
UACGUAGGGGGCAAGCGUUAUCCGGAAUCAUUGGGCGUAAAGCGCGUGUAGGCGGUUCAGCAAGUCCGCUCUGAAAGCCCAGGGCUCAACCCUGGGAGGCGGGUGGAUACUGCUGGACUAGAGUCCGGAAGAGGAGAUUGGAAUUCCUGGUGUAGCGGUGAAAUGCGUAGAGAUCGGGAAGAACAUCGGUGGCGAAGGCGCUCUACUGGACCACAACUGACACUCAGGGACGAAAGCUAGGGGAGCGAAUGGG